rnacentral:ncRNA from 2 species
UUUGUACAGGGCAAUGAGGUCUGCCUUUAACCGCCAAAAUGGCUGAUGACUUCUACUUUAGU